CAGUCGCCGCGGUAAUACGUAGGGUGCGAGCGUUAAUCGGAAUUACUGGGCGUAAAGCGUGCGCAGGCGGCUUUGCAAGACAGAUGUGAAAUCCCCGGGCUCAACCUGGGAACUGCAUUUGUGACUGCAAGGCUAGAGUGCGGCAGAGGGAGAUGGAAUUCCGCGUGUAGCAGUGAAAUGCGUAGAUAUGCGGAGGAACACCGAUGGCGAAGGCAAUCUCCUGGGCCUGCACUGACGCUAAUGCGUGAAAGCGUGGGGAGCAAACAGGAUUAGAUACCCCAGUAGUCCCUGUCUCUUAUAC
rnacentral:rRNA from 1 species